ACGUUGGGGGCGGUGCUAUACAUGCAAGUCGAACGCUUUGUGGUUCAACUGAUUUGAAGAGCUUGCUCAGAUAUGACGAUGGACAUUGCAAAGAGUGGCGAACGGGUGAGUAACACGUGGGAAACCUACCUCUUAGCAGGGGAUAACAUUUGGAAACAGAUGCUAAUACCGUAUAACAAUGACAACCGCAUGGUUGUUAUUUAAAAGAUGGUUCUGCUAUCACUAAGAGAUGGUCCCGCGGUGCAUUAGCUAGUUGGUAAGGUAAUGGCUUACCAAGGCGAUGAUGCAUAGCCGAGUUGAGAGACUGAUCGGCCACAAUGGGACUGAGACACGGCCCAUACUCCUACGGGAGGCAGCAGUAGGGAAUCUUCCACAAUGGGCGAAAGCCUGAUGGAGCAACGCCGCGUGUGUGAUGAAGGGUUUCGGCUCGUAAAACACUGUUGUAAGAGAAGAAUGACAUUGAGAGUAACUGUUCAAUGUGUGACGGUAUCUUACCAGAAAGGAACGGCUAAAUACGUGCCAGCAGCCGCGGUAAUACGUAUGUUCCAAGCGUUAUCCGGAUUUAUUGGGCGUAAAGCGAGCGCAGACGGUUAUUUAAGUCUGAAGUGAAAGCCCUCAGCUCAACUGAGGAAUUGCUUUGGAAACUGGAUGACUUGAGUGCAGUAGAGGAAAGUGGAACUCCAUGUGUAGCGGUGAAAUGCGUAGAUAUAUGGAAGAACACCAGUGGCGAAGGCGGCUUUCUGGACUGUAACUGACGUUGAGGCUCGAAAGUGUGGGUAGCAAACAGGAUUAGAUACCCUGGUAGUCCACACCGUAAACGAUGAGUGCUAGGUGUUUGAGGGUUUCCGCCCUUAAGUGCCGCAGCUAACGCAUUAAGCACUCCGCCUGGGGAGUACGACCGCAAGGUUGAAACUCAAAGGAAUUGACGGGGACCCGCACAAGCGGUGGAGCAUGUGGUUUAAUUCGAAGCAACGCGAAGAACCUUACCAGGUCUUGACAUCCCUUGACAACUCCAGAGAUGGAGUGUUCCCUUCGGGGACAAGGUGACAGGUGGUGCAUGGUUGUCGUCAGCUCGUGUCGUGAGAUGUUGGGUUAAGUCCCGCAACGAGCGCAACCCUUAUUACUAGUUGCCAGCAUUCAGUUGGGCACUCUAGUGAGACUGCCGGUGACAAACCGGAGGAAGGUGGGGAUGACGUCAAAUCAUCAUGCCCCUUAUGACCUGGGCUACACACGUGCUACAAUGGCGUAUACAACGAGUUGCCAACCCGCGAGGGUGAGCUAAUCUCUUAAAGUACGUCUCAGUUCGGAUUGUAGGCUGCAACUCGCCUACAUGAAGUCGGAAUCGCUAGUAAUCGCGGAUCAGCACGCCGCGGUGAAUACGUUCCCGGGUCUUGUACACACCGCCCGUCACACCAUGAGAGUUUGUAACACCCAAAGCCGGUGGGGUAACCUUCGGGAGCCAGCCGUCUUAAGGGGGGACCG
rnacentral:rRNA from 1 species